GAUGAACGCUGGCGGCGUGCCUAAUACAUGCAAGUCGAACGCGCAGCGAGAGGUGCUUGCACCUUUCAAGCGAGUGGCGAACGGGUGAGUUACACGUGGAUAACCUGCCUCAAGGCUGGGGAUAACAUUUGGAAACAGAUGCUAAUACCGAAUAAAACUUAGUAUCGCAUGAUAUCAAGUUAAAAGGCGCUACGGCGUCACCUAGAGAUGGAUCCGCGGUGCAUUAGUUAGUUGGUGGGGUAAAGGCUUACCAAGACGAUGGUGCAUAGCCGAGUUGGGAGACUGAUCGGCCACAUUGGGACUGAGACACGGCCCAAACUCCUACGGGAGGCUGCAGUAGGGAAUCUUCCACAAUGGGCGCAAGCCUGAUGGAGCAACGCCGCGUGUGUGAUGAAGGCUUUCGGGUCGUAAAGCACUGUUGUAUGGGAAGAAAUGCUAAAAUAGGGAAUGAUUUUAGUUUGACGGUACCAUACCAGAAAGGGACGGCUAAAUACGUGCCAGCAGCCGCGGUAA
rnacentral:rRNA from 1 species